AACGGCCGUACCAUGCUGAAUAUACCGGUUCUCGUUAGAUCACCGAAGUUAAGCAUCGGUCAGUACUUGGGUGGGUGACCACCUGGGAACACUGCGUGCCGUU
rnacentral:rRNA from 1 species